rnacentral:rRNA from 1 species
UGAGGAAUAUUGGUCAAUGGACGAGAGUCUGAACCAGCCAAGUAGCGUGCAGGAUGACGGCCCUAUGGGUUGUAAACUGCUUUUAUAAGGGAAUAAAGUUAGAGUCGUGACUCUUUUUGCAUGUACCUUAUGAAUAAGGACCGGCUAAUUCCGUGCCAGCAGCCGCGGUAAUACGGAAGGUCCGGGCGUUAUCCGGAUUUAUUGGGUUUAAAGGGUGCGCAGGCGGCGCGCCAAGUCAGCGGUCAAAGUUCCGGGCUCAACCCGGUGUCGCCGUUGAAACUGGCGUGCUCGAGUGCGUGCGAGGAAGGCGGAAUGCGUUGUGUAGCGGUGAAAUGCAUAGAUAUGACGCAGAACUCCGAUUGCGAAGGCAGCUUUCCAGCGCGCUACUGACGCUGAGGCACGAAAGCGUGGGGAUCGAACAGGAUUAGAUACCCUGGUAGU